rnacentral:rRNA from 1 species
UAGUGAUUAACGCGAAGAACCUUACCUGGGCUAGACAACGGCGGACCGUCCUAGAAAUAGGAUUUUCCCUUCGGGGACCGCCGGUUCAGGUGCUGCAUGGCUGUCGUCAGCUCGUGCCGUGAGGUAUUGGGUUAAGUCCCGCAACGAGCGCAACCCUCGUCCUUAGUUGCCACCAUUCAGUUGGGCACUCUAGGGGGACUGCCGGCGUUAAGCCGGAGGAAGGUGGGGACGACGUCAAGUCAUCGUGGCCCUUAUGUCCAGGGCCACACACGUGCUACAAUGGGCGGUACAAAGGGUCGCAAACCCGCGAGGGGGAGCCAAUCCCAAAAAGCCGCUCUCAGUUCGGAUUGGAGUCUGCAACUCGACUCCAUGAAGUUGGAAUCGCUAGUAAUCGCGGAUCAGCACGUCGCGGUGAAUACGUUCCCGGGCCUUGUCACACCGAAUCGAAUUU